CAUCUGUAUAAAUAUAAUAUGUUAAUCAAUUUAAUUAUAAAGUAUUUUAAAAAUAAUAUAAUUAAAAUGUACAACCAUUUAGGACAUAGAUGUUUUGCGGAGGGUUAAUAACCAAUUUAUCAGAAUGUCAUUAUAUUUGAUCAUAUGGCGUACAAAAGAAAUAGCUACUUUUCAUAAAAUAGUUAUUUGAACACGUGUCUCUAUAAAAUGCUCCCAACUACUAAUAUUAUGUUAUAAUUUAGGUAUAUUCGAUGGUUUAUUUUUUUUGUUCCGACACAAAAGUUUGUAAUCUGCAUUAAAAACUAUAAUUAUACUAAAUCGGUUUUACAGAUUGAAGGUAUCAAUUCGUCACCUUAAAAAUCGAUUAUCGUCUUCACCUUUUCUCUCUUGAACAACGCCAGAUUUCAAUCAACAACCGUUCCAUUUCAUCAGAACUGAUUCAAGCAACUCAAUAUACCGAUUCGGUAACAGUUUUCGUCACGUAUUAUAAUGAAGUUGAUGUUUUUAAUUAGUUCCCUAUGUUAUUUUUUAUUACUGUAUGUAUUUUCUACAAAUGCCGACGUCCGGUGUGGCCAGGAUUGUUUUCCUGUUACCGAAAUACCCAACCCUCAUCAGUGUUUUGAAAACUCUGAAAAACAAACUCCAUGUAAUGGAAAACCAGGAUGUUUAUGUUGUUGUCCUUAACUUAAAUUCAUUUUAAAAAUAUAUCUUUAUACAAAAUAGGUAAAUAUAAUAUAAUUAAUUUCCAAAAAUUAAAUUAUUUGAAUUCCUUUAUACAUUAUUAGUGCAACUCCUUUUACUCAAUUAAUAUAUCCUGUAUUUCACAUUAAAAAA